rnacentral:rRNA from 1 species
GACGAACGCUGGCGGCGUGCUUAACACAUGCAAGUCGAACGGAAAGGCCCUGCUUUUGUGGGGUGCUCGAGUGGCGAACGGGUGAGUAACACGUGAGUAACCUGCCCUUGACUUUGGGAUAACUUCAGGAAACUGGGGCUAAUACCGGAUAGGAGCUCCUGCUGCAUGGUGGGGGUUGGAAAGUUUCGGCGGUUGGGGAUGGACUCGCGGCUUAUCAGCUUGUUGGUGGGGUAGUGGCAUACCAAGGCUUUGACGGGUAGCCGGCCUGAGAGGGUCACCGGCCAAAUUGGGACUGAGAUACGGCCCAGACUCCUACGGGAGGCAGGAGUGGGGAAUAUUGCACAAUGGGCGGAAGCCUGAUGCAGCAACGCCGCGUGCGGGAUGACGGCCUUCGGGUUGUAAACCGCUUUCGCCUGUGACGAAGCGUGAGUGACGGUAAUGGGUAAAGAAGCACCGGCUAACUACGUG